ensembl:snoRNA
AUCGAGGCUAGAGUCACACUUGAGUAUUGGUUAUUGCCUUAGUGUGCUACAGUCCUCGAAGAGUCACUGCUGACCUUAUUCACUGGCUGUGGCGCUGAUGGCAGUCAGUCACCAGGUUAGUGACAUGG